UACAGAGGGGGCAAGCGUUGUUCGGAAUUACUGGGCGUAAAGGGCGCGUAGGCGGCCCUCUAAGUCAGACGUGAAAUCCCCCGGCUUAACCUGGGAACUGCGUCUGAUACUGGAGGGCUUGAGUAUGGGAGAGGGAUGUAGAAUUCCAGGUGUAGCGGUGAAAUGCGUAGAUAUCUGGAGGAAUACCGGUGGCGAAGGCGGCAUCCUGGACCAUUACUGACGCUGAGGCGCGAAAGCGUGGGGAGCAAACAGG
rnacentral:rRNA from 1 species